ACGCGUGGAACCUUACCAGGUCUUGACAUCCUCUGACACUCCUAGAGAUAGGACGUUCCCCUUCGGGGGACAGAGUGACAGGUGGUGCAUGGUUGUCGUCAGCUCGUGUCGUGAGAUGUUGGGUUAAGUCCCGCAACGAGCGCAACCCUUGAUCUUAGUUGCCAGCAUUCAGUUGGGCACUCUAAGGUGACUGCCGGUGACAAACCGGAGGAAGGUGGGGAUGACGUCAAAUCAUCAUGCCCCUUAUGACCUGGGCUACACACGUGCUACAAUGGAUGGUACAAAGGGCUGCAAGACUGCGAAGUCAAGCCAAUCCCAUAAAACCAUUCUCAGUUCGGAUUGCAGGCUGCAACUCGCCUGCAUGAAGCCGGAAUCGCUAGUAAUCGCGGAUCAGCAUGCCGCGGUGAAUACGUUCCCGGGCCUGUACACACCGCCCGU
rnacentral:rRNA from 1 species